AUUUAUAUGCUAUCUUUUUUCACCUUUUCUGGUUGGUCCACUGACAUGAACAAUCUCUAGAUAAAUUUAUGUAGAAGAAACAAAAAGAAAUGACAAUUUCAUUCCUUAUCCCUCCCUCGGUCGAUGAUGCAAGUGUAAUAUGGAUAAGAAUGCCCAUUCUCUGUGUCAUCUUUUUCCUUUCGCUUUCUUUCUUUUUUAUUAGAAAAACCAAACAUAACUUUUUAUUGGAUCAUAGUGGAACUGAAUUCUGUUGAAAUGUUCAUUUCGUAUAUUUGUUGAGCUUUUUUUCUUGGUUGAAGUGAUUUAAGUACUUUUUCUGUUACAUAAAAUGAUGGGAAUUAACAAGCAAUAAAAUGAAGAUCUUAUCAGCUAAUAAUGUCAACAUCAUAUGAACAUGAUGGUGGUGGAUAAUGUUUAACGUUAUAACUGCUCCCUCCUUUUUAUCUUAAGGACCCAACCAAUGUUCAUUAUUAGCCCCUCCUUUGUUUUCAACACUUUGCUUUAUUCACAAUCAACC